rnacentral:rRNA from 1 species
AGUGGCGGACGGGUGAGUAACGCGUGAGAAUCUGCCUUGGGGUCGGGGACAACCACUGGAAACGGUGGCUAAUACCGGAUAAGCCGAUUGGUGAAAGAUUUAUUGCCCGAAGAGGAGCUCGCGUCUGAUUAGCUAGUUGGUGAGGUAAGAGCUCACCAAGGCAGCGAUCAGUAGCUGGUCUGAGAGGACGAUCAGCCACACUGGGACUGAGACACGGCCCAGACUCCUACGGGAGGCAGCAGUGGGGAAUUUUCCGCAAUGGGCGAAAGCCUGACGGAGCAAGACCGCGUGAGGGAGGAAGGCUCUUGGGUUGUAAACCUCUUUUCUCAGGGAAGAAGCUCUGACGGUACCUGAGGAAUCAGCCUCGGCUAACUCCGUGCCAGCAGCCGCGGUAAUACGGAGGAGGCAAGCGUUAUCCGGAAUUAUUGGGCGUAAAGCGUCCGCAGGUGGCGAUUCAAGUCUGCUGUCAAAGCACGGGGCUUAACUCCGUAAAGGCAGUGGAAACUGAAUAGCUAGAGUGCCGUAGGGGUAGAGGGAAUUCCCGGUGUAGCGGUGAAAUGCGUAGAGAUCGGGAAGAACAUCGGUGGCGAAAGCGCUCUACUGGACGGCAACUGACACUCAGGGACGAAAGCUAGGGGAGCAAAUGGGAUUAGAUACCCC